rnacentral:rRNA from 1 species
UCGCUACUACCGAUUGAAUGGCUUAGUGAGCCCCAGGGACUGUUGUAUCUCGUUGGAAACUUCGAGACACAUACGGGAAGGAGGUCAAACUUGAUCAUUUAGAGGAAGUAA